rnacentral:lncRNA from 1 species
GUAUGUUUAAACACUGCCUGAUAUUGCAUUUUUAUAUAUAAUUAAGACAAGCUUGACUUUAAAGAUUCAGUUCCCCUAAAGCCUUUCUAUCUUUUGGGUAUUUAACCCAUUGAUUUCUGAGAUGGCUUUAGUACUGUCUUCUUUUACAAAUAUGGGUUUUUCAAAAAAAAUUAUAUGUUUUGUCACUUGCAUUGGUUUUCUGAUGCUGCUAUUACAGGUUAUCACAAAUUUAAAGGCUUAAACAAUACUUUUGUUUCUUCUCUUACAUUCUGAAUGUCAGACAUACAAAAUCAAUUUCAGUAGGCUAAAAUCAAGGUGUCAGCAAGGCUGAUCCUUUUCUGUCAGCUAUAGGGGAGUGAAAUGGUUUGCAUGUUUGUUUCCCCCAAAACUCAUAUUGAAACUUCAUCUACAAUGUGGCAGUAUUACGAAGUGGAACUUCCAUGAGGUGAUUGGUCUAUAAGGGCUCUGCCCUCUUGAAUGGAUUAAUCCAUUCAUGGAUUAAUAGAUUAAUGUGUUAAUGAGUUAAUGGGUUAUCAUGGGAAUGAGGCUAAUGGCUUUGUAAGAAGAGGAAGAGAAAGCUAAGCUAGCAUGCUCAGCUCCUUUGCCAUGGGAUGUCCUGUACUGCCAUGGGAUUCUGCAGAGUCCCUAUGAGCACAGGCUCCCACCAGAUGAGGCCCCUCAAACUUGGACUCCUCAGCUUCCACAACUGUAAGAAAUAAAUAUUCUUAAGUAAAUUACUCAGUUUCAGGUAUUAUGUUAUAAGCAAAAGAAAAUGAACUAAGACAGGGAGGAUCUGUUUUUCUACCUUUUCCAGCUUCUAAAGGCUUUCUUUAUUCCUUAACUUGUGCUCUCUACCUUCAAAGACAACGGUGUAUUAUCUUAAAAUCUCUCUCUUACUCUGUCUCUGUUUCUUUCUCUCAACUCUGCUUCCAUCAUCACAUCUCCUUCUCCUGCCUCUUAUAAAGUCCCUUAUGAUUACAUUGGUUACACCUAGAUAAUCCAUGAUAAUCUCCUCACUUCAAUAUCCUUGAUCACAUUUACCAAAUCCCUUUAGCCAUGUAAGGCAACAUAUUUCCAGGUUCUGUGGGUUAAAGAUGUGGACAUUCUUCAGCCUGCCCUAUCACUAUAUUUUUAAGAAUUGCCAAGUGAAUAGUCAUUCCUAUUAUAUCUUAUUUGAGGAUAUUAUUCUUUUGUCUUUGAAAAUAUAAGACAAUCCCUUUUGCUUUUUUGAUCUUAAGAUGUAUCUGAUGUUAAUAAUUUUCAGAAGUGUUUUCUUUGAUUGACAUGCUAUAUUCUGUUAUUUUCUUCAUUGUGCUCUUCCUUUAGAUAUGUUCUUUCUCAACGGAAUAUAGCUAGAACUCAAUGUGAGAGCACUUCUUUAGUAAAAUAAUUUAACCAGUUUCUAUUAAAUAUGCUAACUAAUGUGUUUGGUUUAUGAUUUCUUUUUUAUACUGCAUUUUUUACUUAUUUUUACACUUUUUAUUUUUUCUGAUAGUCCAUGAGCCUAAUUACUUUUUUUAUGUUUACCUGUUAUGGUUUCACAUCUUUUAUUGGAUACACUGCUACAAAUCCCUAUUUACUAGUAGUUUCCUUCAUAUUUUACAUUCUCAUAUGUUCCCUGAUUUACCAAUCUCUACCUGUCUUCCUUAUACUACUACUCCAACAUAUGAAUUUGUUGAAAAUUUACAAAAUUUGAUUUCAAGGUUAUUUUUUCAUUUUACUUUGAGUAUCUGCAUUCUGCCUUUAUUUUAUUUUACUUUUGGCUAAAUGCUUUCCUUAAAUACUUCCACAAGAUAUUCGUGGAUGACAUAUUGCCGAAUUUCUUGCAUGUUCCACAGGUCUUUUCUUUGCUUUCCCAUAUGUAUGUUAAUUGUGCUUAUGUUAGGUUAUUGGAUGAUAAUAACUCUUUUCUCUCAAAGCCUCCACACUUUACUCUCAAUCUUACGUGAACCUGAUCCUGUGAUCAGAUUAAAUAAAAUGAUGCCUAUUUAAUUUUUUGCCUUCAUGAAGUGAACUGUUCUCAUUAUCAUAGGCCUGUGUGGUAGCUCUUUACAGAGACGGCAAAAUAUUACAAAACUAUGUCUAGGUCUAUGUAUUUUUUUCAAUAAUUGUAUUUAAUAUUUUCCUUUUAAAUCUAAAAAUAACUUUAGAUAAUCACACAAAUUUCUUUGCAAAUUACUAUUUUUUCUAAUUUAUUUUUCUCUCCCUUAUUAUGUGUUAUUUAAAUAGAUAAUCAAGGUAAAUAUAUAUGUGUUUUUUAGUAAUCUACUUAAUACAUAUUUCUUUGACUAUUUAUUACAUUCUUAUAAAAUAAUUCCAUCAUAUAGUAGAUUAGUUAUGUCCACAGUAGAAUAGUUAACCCCAGAAUUUGUGCAGGACAAUUCUUGUGAUGAGGAGAGAAAGCGUUCAGCAUUUUUGUCAGUCACAGAUAACAUGUGGCAUGCUGCAUAGGAGAUCUACAGUAUAGAGGGAUGAACAGUGGUACCUUCAGCUUCUUUCUCACUUUUUCUAUAUUAAAACCUAUUUCAGGUCAUAUGUGUAUAUUGCACUUUCUCUUAUAUCUUUUUAUUUAUGAUCAGAUUUAUGUCUUUCUUCUCCACAAUGCUCUAACCACAGUAAGGACUGUCAUUUUGACUCUCUGUGACUAAACUGUGCUUUAGGAAGCAUAAAUAAUUUAUGGUAAAAAAAAUUACUGUCCAUGGAGGGUGAACAGAAAAUGUCAGCACAGUCCUCUGUGCACCAGAAAUGUUCAAACCAGGAUUUCUGACACCUGCUUGAAACUAGUGCCAUGAAUACUUAAUCAAGAUUAGCUUGAAAAAUAUACAUCAAAUGUGGCAAAAUCACAAAUAGAGCACAUAAAAUAAACUUAAGUGUAGAAAAUGUCUGUGACUAUGUUUCAUGAGGCAGUUUCUUCUCUGUACUUAAUUCUCUAUCUGCUCAUUAUGCUAAGAUUUUAAUAAUAGAGUUUAAAAAAAGAAAAAAGAACUUAAAAAGGGAAAAAUUGAAAUGAGGGUUACAGUAAACACAUCAAAAUGCACUGUUGUUUUUGAGGGACUUCCUUCAUCAUAAUGAAAUAAUCUCUACAGCUACCACUGGUAUCCCUCUGGUCUAGUGCUGGCAUCAGGCAAUAUAAAAGUCCUGCUCGAGUUGUGGUUUCUUGCAAUAUUCUUAUUUAAACAGAAACAAGACUCAUUGGGAAAGAGAACCUUCCCAAUAUUUAUGGAAAUAAUGCAUUUUGGGUUUAAAUCAUCUAAUUUUUGCUAGAAAUCAUUUAGCUUUAGGGAUUUCUACAUAAGAGUUAAUAUGUAUAAGAACUAUAUGUGUAAUAUAUAUGUAAUAAUAAGCUCUCAUAUAUAUAUGUAAGGGCUUCCACCAUUAGAGCUGAUGAUUUGAUGUUUAAAAGCAAGUUUCAAAGGCAAAAAGUUAUGUAUAUGUGGGUACCUUGAAAUCAUCAUGAAAGUAAAGAGAGAAAGUAAUAUAAAAUGUACAAAAAGUAGAUUAUAUGCUUUUAUGAGAUUUAACAUAAUAUAUAAACUUUGGGAAUUUUAUGUAUUUAUCAAAAGAAAUUCCAAAUUACAAUAAGAUUUUUGGCCAGUAUCUAAGAAUUAAAACAAAAUGUUUUGAUUCUCAACCCCACCAAAAUGUUUGGAUCUCGGAUAAACUGUGAAGGAAGGAAUAGCACCAUAUUACCAUGUUUUAUCUGGCAUAGCCUUGCCACAAUCUGCUAUGUUCCUACUCUCUUCUUGAGAGACAGCCUUUGUCCACCCCAAGCUGCUACACAGCUUUUUUUCAGGGGAGAAAAAAUGCCCAGAAAUUGCUACUCAAUUGAAAGAGUGCCUCCUAAGUGGUUCAUCACUUUACUUUGGUGCCCUAAAACAAGAUCCCCAUCACCACCAAACCCCACUUUUGGUUAAUAAAACCAGUAUUCUAUUACAUGGCUUAGAAGUUACUAUUUUCAUUCUAUGAAUUUGAGCUGAGUGCCGAUAAAUACCUACCACAUGGAAGAGCUCAGAUCAGAACCCAUUAAUUCCAAGAAAAGAGUCAUCAGGUCAUGAGACUCAGGAACAUAAGAGGCUCUAUUCUACCUGCCAUUCACUGAAGAAGUGAACUGCUCCUUCCUUUUCCACUGACAUGAACUCCCCCUAGGAAAGCAAACUAUCUGCCCCACUUGCUGAUGCCAGUCAUCACACUCUUCGAGGACUGUUAAUUGAGAAGGUACACUAGCAGCUUUGAUAUCUUGUGAUUAAAAGUCUAGUUUUCGGCAGGGCGUGGUGGCUCACGCCUGUAAUCCUAGCACUUUGGGAGGCCGAGGCAGGCAGAUCAUGAAGUCAGAAGGUGGAGACCAUCCUGGCUAACAGGGUGAAACCCUGUCUCUAUUAAAAAUACAAACAAUUAGCCUGGCGUGGUGGCGGGCGCCUGUAGUCCC